UACGUAGGGUGCGAGCGUUGUCCGGAAUUAUUGGGCGUAAAGGGCUCGUAGGCGGUUUGUCACGUCGGGAGUGAAAACUCAGGGCUUAACCCUGAGCCUGCUUCCGAUACGGGCAGACUAGAGGUAUGCAGGGGAGAAUGGAAUUCCUGGAGUAGCGGUGAAAUGCGUAGAGACCCGGAGGAACACCAGUGGCGAAGGCGGCGUCCUGGCCUGCGACUGACGCUGUGGCGCGAAAGCUAGGGGAGCGAACGGG
rnacentral:rRNA from 1 species